rnacentral:lncRNA from 1 species
UUGAUUCACUUUUUAUAAACUAGAAUAGACUUCCAACUAGUAGGAAUUGAUUUUAGUUCAUAUUUUGAUGCAUUAACUAAGAGUGAGGCAAUUCUAAUAACUUAGAAGGUAAGUAAGAAUUUUUUUGAUUAAUAAAUAUGUGAAAAAUUACCAAGAAAAGAAUUCAAGCUUAAAGUUGUAGAAGAAUUGAGAUUUUUAAAAGAAGAAGCUCAUUUGUAAUGGUUCAUCACUUCUUAUUAUCAUAUUUUUCCAAUUAAACGCCAUUUUCUUGUAGUAAGAAGAUUUAUUUAUUCUU